CACACCGCCCCGUCACACCAUGGAAGUCUGUUGCACCAGAAGUCGGUAGUCUAACCGCAAGGAGGGCGCCGACCACGGUGUGGCCGAUGACUGGGGUG
rnacentral:rRNA from 1 species